rnacentral:rRNA from 1 species
GGUUAAGCGACUAAGCGUACACGGUGGAUGCCCUGGCAGUCAGAGGCGAUGAAGGACGUGCUAAUCUGCGAUAAGCGUCGGUAAGGUGAUAUGAACCGUUAUAACCGGCGAUUUCCGAAUGGGGAAACCCAGUGUGAUUCGUCACACUAUCAUUAACUGAAUCCAUAGGUUAAUGAGGCGAACCGGGGGAACUGAAACAUCUAAGUACCCCGAGGAAAAGAAAUCAACCGAGAUUCCCCCAGUAGCGGCGAGCGAACGGGGAGCAGCCCAGAGCCUGAAUCAGUGUGUGUGUUAGUGGAAGCGUCUGGAAAGGCGUGCGAUACAGGGUGACAGCCCCGUACACAAAAAUGCACAUACUGUGAGCUCGAUGAGUAGGGCGGGACACGUGGUAUCCUGUCUGAAUAUGGGGGGACCAUCCUCCAAGGCUAAAUACUCCUGACUGACCGAUAGUGAACCAGUACCGUGAGGGAAAGGCGAAAAGAACCCCGGCGAGGGGAGUGAAAAAGAACCUGAAACCGUGUACGUACAAGCAGUGGGAGCACGCUUAGGCGUGUGACUGCGUACCUUUUGUAUAAUGGGUCAGCGACUUAUAUUCUGUAGCAAGGUUAACCGAAUAGGGGAGCCGAAGGGAAACCGAGUCUUAACUGGGCGUUAAGUUGCAGGGUAUAGACCCGAAACCCGGUGAUCUAGCCAUGGGCAGGUUGAAGGUUGGGUAACACUAACUGGAGGACCGAACCGACUAAUGUUGAAAAAUUAGCGGAUGACUUGUGGCUGGGGGUGAAAGGCCAAUCAAACCGGGAGAUAGCUGGUUCUCCCCGAAAGCUAUUUAGGUAGCGCCUCGUGAAUUCAUCUCCGGGGGUAGAGCACUGUUUCGGCAAGGGGGUCAUCCCGACUUACCAACCCGAUGCAAACUGCGAAUACCGGAGAAUGUUAUCACGGGAGACACACGGCGGGUGCUAACGUCCGUCGUGAAGAGGGAAACAACCCAGACCGCCAGCUAAGGUCCCAAAGUCAUGGUUAAGUGGGAAACGAUGUGGGAAGGCCCAGACAGCCAGGAUGUUGGCUUAGAAGCAGCCAUCAUUUAAAGAAAGCGUAAUAGCUCACUGGUCGAGUCGGCCUGCGCGGAAGAUGUAACGGGGCUAAACCAUGCACCGAAGCUGCGGCAGCGAC